ACGCACGCUGGCGGCAUGCCUAACACCUGCCAGUCGAACGAGACCUUCGGGUCUAGUGGCGCCCGGGUGCGUAACGCGUGGGAACCUGCCCUUAGGUUCGGAAUAACUCCCCGAAAGGGGUGCUAAUACCGGAUAAUGUCUUCGGACCAAAGAUUUAUCGCCUUUGGAUGGGCCCGCGUUGGAUUAGCUAGUUGGUAGGGUAAAAGCCUACCAAGGCGACGAUCCAUAGCUGGUCUGAGAGGAUGAUCAGCCACACUGGGACUGAGACACGGCCCAGACUCCUACGGGAGGCAGCAGUGGGGAAUAUUGGACAAUGGGCGAAAGCCUGAUCCAGCAAUGCCGCGUGAGUGAUGAAGGCCUUAGGGUUGUAAAGCUCUUUUACCCGGGAUGAUAAUGACAGUACCGGGAGAAUAAGCUCCGGCUAACUCCGUG
rnacentral:rRNA from 1 species